AACGAACGCUGGCGGCAUGCUUAACACAUGCAAGUCGAACGGUCUUAUGGGGCUUGCUCCAUAAGAUAGUGGCAGACGGGUGAGUAACACGUGGGAACGUACCCUAAGGUUCGGAAUAACAGUUGGAAACGACUGAUAAUACCGGAUAUCUCCGAGAGGAGAAAGGUUUACCGCCUUGGGAGCGGCCCGCGUCUGAUUAGGUAGUUGGUGAGGUAAAGGCUCACCAAGCCGAUGAUCAGUAGCUGGUUUGAGAGAAUGAUCAGCCACACUGGGACUGAGACGCGGCCCAGACUCCUACGGGAGGCAGCAGUGGGGAAUAUUGGACAAUGGGGGAAACCCUGAUCCAGCAAUGCCGCGUGAGUGAAGAAGGCCUUCGGGUUGUAAAGCUCUUUUGUCCGUGACGAUAAUGACGGUACCCGGAGAAGAAGCCCCGGCUAACUUCGUGCCAGCAGCCGCCGUAA
rnacentral:rRNA from 1 species